ensembl:snoRNA
ACUCGGUGAUGGACUGAUGGCGGGCCCUUCUCUGUGGGCCUCUCACAGCGUACCCAUGCCAGAGAAGUGUGCAGCCCUGAACCACUGCCCUGCCUCCUGACUGAUGGGCUGUGAACACUGACGGGGGCUCUACAGUU